rnacentral:rRNA from 1 species
UGGGGAAUAUUGCACAAUGGGCGCAAGCCUGAUGCAGCCAUGCCGCGCGUAUGAAGAAGGCCUUCGGGUUGUAAAGUACUUUCAGCGGGGAGGAAGGGAGUAAUGUUAAUACCUUUGCUCAUUGACGUUACCCGCAGAAGAAGCACCGGCUAACUCCGUGCCAGCAGCCGCGGUAAUACGGAGGGUGCAAGCGUUAAUCGGAAUUACUGGGCGUAAAGCGCACGCAGGCGGUUUGUUAAGUCAGAUGUGAAAUCCCCGGGCUCAACCUGAGAACUGCAUCUGAUACUGGAAAGCUUGAGUCUCGUAGAGGGGGGUAGAAUUCCAGGUGUAGCGGUGAAAUGCGUAGAGAUCUGGAGGAAUACCGGUGGCGAAGGCGGCCCCCUAGACGAAGACUGACGAUCAGGUGCGAAAGCGUGGGGAGCAAACAGG